GAUGAAGAACGUAGCGAAAUGCGAUAAGUAGUGUGAAUUGCAGAAUUCAGUGAAUCAUCGAAUCUUUGAACGCACAUUGCGCCUUCUAGUAUUCUGGGAGGCAUGCCUGUUUGAGCGUCAUUAAACCUCUCUCAAGUAUGAUUACUUGGAUGUGAAGGAAGAGUACCUUAAACUUAAGGAGUGUUCUCCUUUGAAAUUGAUUAGCAGAUGGUAAUGUUAUUAAAUCCCUGAUGUUGUAAGAAAUAACAGUGGUCUUGUAGACUAUUAUCUAGCUUUAAAUUAUAAUUUUUAUUAUGGUUGACCUCAAAUCAGGUAAGGAUACCCGCUGAACUUAAGCAUAUCAAUAAGCGGAGGA
rnacentral:misc_RNA from 1 species